rnacentral:misc_RNA from 1 species
GAUGAAGAACGUAGCGAAAUGCGAUACGUAGUGUGAAUUGCAGAAUUCAGUGAAUCAUCGAAUCUUUGAACGCACAUUGCACCUCUCGGUAUUCCGGGAGGUAUGCCUGUUCGAGCGUCAUUUGUACCCUCAAGCUCUGCUUGGUGUUGGGUGUUUGUUCCGCCACUGUGUGUGAACUCGCCUCAAAACAAUUGGCAGCCGGCGUACUUGUUUCGGAGCGCAGCACAUUUUGCGAUCCAGAUCAACGUACAGCGGCAUCCAAGAAGCCUUAUUUAACGCUCUUGACCUCGGAUCAGGUAGGGAUACCCGCUGAACUUAAGCAUAUCAAUAAGCGGAGGA